rnacentral:rRNA from 1 species
UACGUAGGGUGCAAGCGUUAUCCGGAAUUAUUGGGCGUAAAGAGCUCGUAGGCGGUUUGUCGCGUCUGCUGUGAAAACCGGAGGCUCAACCUCCGGCCUGCAGUGGGUACGGGCAAACUAGAGUGCGGUAGGGGAGAUUGGAAUUCCUGGUGUAGCGGUGGAAUGCGCAGAUAUCAGGAGGAACACCGAUGGCGAAGGCAGAUCUCUGGGCCGUAACUGACGCUGAGGAGCGAAAGCGUGGGGAGCAAACAGG